AGCGAACGCUGGCGGCGUGCCUAACACAUGCAAGUCGAACGUGAAAAGGGAAACCUGAGUAAAGUGGCGUACGGGUGAGUAACGCGUAGGUAAUCUACCCCAGAAUCUGGAAUAACCUGCCGAAGGGCGGGCUAAUACUGGAUAGAGCGAGGGAACUCGUAAGAGAGUUUUUCGGGAAAGGGAGCCCGCAAGGGCCUUUGUUCUGGGAUGAGCCUGCGUCUCAUUAGCUAGUUGGUAAGGUAACGGCUUACCAAGGCGAUGAUGAGUAGCUGGUCUGAGAGGAUGAUCAGCCACACUGGAACUGAAACACGGUCCAGACUCCUACGGGAGGCAGCAGUGGGGAAUCUUGCGCAAUGGACGAAAGUCUGACGCAGCCACGCCGCGUGAGUGAAGAAGGCCUUCGGGUUGUAAAGCUCUGUCGGAUGGGACGAACAUCUUCAUAGUGAAUAGCUAUGAGGACUGACGGUACCAUCAAAGGAAGCACCGGCUAACUCCGUG
rnacentral:rRNA from 1 species